AUUGAACGCUGGCGGCAGGCUUAACACAUGCAAGUCGAGCGGAGAUGAGGUGCUUGCACCUUAUCUUAGCGGCGGACGGGUGAGUAAUGCUUAGGAAUCUGCCUAUUAGUGGGGGACAACAUUCCGAAAGGAAUGCUAAUACCGCAUACGUCCUACGGGAGAAAGCAGGGGAUCUUCGGACCUUGCGCUAAUAGAUGAGCCUAAGUCGGAUUAGCUAGUUGGUGGGGUAAAGGCCUACCAAGGCGACGAUCUGUAGCGGGUCUGAGAGGAUGAUCCGCCACACUGGGACUGAGAAACGGCCCAGACUCCUACGGGAGGCAGCAGUGGGGAAUAUUGGACAAUGGGGGGAACCCUGAUCCAGCCAUGCCGCGUGUGUGAAGAAGGCCUUAUGGUUGUAAAGCACUUUAAGCGAGGAGGAGGCUACUGAGACUAAUACUCUUGGAUAGUGGACGUUACUCGCAGAAUAAGCACCGGCUAACUCUGAGCCAGCCGCCGCCGUAA
rnacentral:rRNA from 1 species